rnacentral:rRNA from 1 species
CAAUAGCGUAUAUUAAAGUUGUUGCGGUUAAAAAGCUCGUAGUUGGAGUUCUGCCAGGUGACGCUCGUCCGCCCAAGUGGUGUGUACAGGGCGUGCAUCUGGCCCUUUCAAGGGGAACGUGUCUGCACUUUACUGUGUGGUGCGAGAUCCUUGACUUUUACUUUGAGGAAAUCAGAGUGUUCCAAGCAGGCUCUCGUCGUGUAUAGCUCAGCAUGGAAUAAUAGCAUUGGACUUCGUUUCUAAGCUGUUGGUUGCAAGAAGCGAGGUAAUGAUGAAGAGGGAUAGUUGGGGGCAUUCGUAUUUAACUGUCAGAGGUGAAAUUCUUGGAUUUGUUAAAGACGGACCACUGCGAAAGCAUCUGCCAUGGAUGUUUNCAUUG